rnacentral:miRNA from 1 species
UUAUGUUUUUUUCUUUUUCUUUUUUUUUUGUUUUUUUGUUUUUUCUCCUCUCUUUCACACAAACGCAUGCACAGAAAGAGAAGGAGAAAGAGAGAGAGAGAAGAAAAGAAGAAAAGAACGGGCGAAGGA